rnacentral:rRNA from 1 species
GAGCGUUAUCCGGAUUUAUUGGGUUUAAAGGGCGCGUAGGCGGGACGUCAAGUCAGCGGUAAAAGACUGCAGCUAAACUGUAGCACGCCGUUGAAACUGGCGCCCUCGAGACGAGACGAGGGAGGCGGAACAAGUGAAGUAGCGGUGAAAUGCAUAGAUAUCACUUGGAACCCCGAUAGCGAAGGCAGCUUCCCAGGCUCGUUCUGACGCUGAUGCGCGAGAGCGUGGGUAGCGAACAGGAUUAGAUACCCUGGUAGUCCACGCCGUAAACGAUGCUCACUGGUUCUGUGCGAUAUAUUGUACGGGAUUAAGCGAAAGUAUUAAGUGAGCCACCUGGGGAGUACGUCGGCAACGAUGAAACUCAAAGGAAUUGACGGGGGCCCGCACAAGCGGAGGAACAUGUGGUUUAAUUCGAUGAUACGCGAGGAACCUUACCCGGGUUUAAAUGUAGAUUGCAUGAGGUGGAAACACUUCUUCCCUUCGGGGCUAUUUACAAGGUGCUGCAUGGUUGUCGUCAGCUCGUGCCGUGAGGUGUCGGGUUAAGUCCCAUAACGAGCGCAACCCCUAUCGCCAGUUGCCAUCGGUUCAAGCCGGGCACUCUGUCGAGACUGCCACCGUAAGGUGCGAGGAAGGCGGGGAUGACGUCAAAUCAGCACGGCCCUUACACCCGGGGCGACACACGUGUUACAAUGGCCGGUACAGAGGGCAGCCACGGGGUGACCCGGAGCGAAUCUCUAAAGCCGGUCGUAGUUCGGACUGGAGUCUGCAACCCGACUCCACGAAGUUGGAUUCGCUAGUAAUCGCGCAUCAGCCAUGGCGCGGUGAAUACGUUCCCGGGCCUUGUACACACCGCCCGUCAAGCCAUGGGAG